GGAAAAGGAACGAGGACGAGCAGAAAAACGCACGGGAGGGGCUCUCCUCGAUGCCAUGGAUACGGCACCGUCGCCGCCGCCGCCACGCGCGGCCGGUCUCCUUCUCCGGCCAUCCGCCGCCCACUUCUCCUUCCUCUUGCUGCGGCCAUCUUAUGUCGCCGCCGCCGGCUUAAAACGGUGUUCCGACCGCCGGCUCCUCGGUACCCUACACCUCCAUGGAAGUCCGGAUCUCGCCGCCAUACUGAACUCUCCGGCUCUCUCCCCACCCUGAAUUCUCAUCUGUCCCAGAGAUCCUCUCCAACCUAGAGUUUCUCAUGGAGAUCACCUCCUGACACCGGCGUGCGGAGACAGGCAGGCCGCCCCUCUCGCGGACAGACUGGAGCAACGUUGGUUGAGGAGACGGCCACCGUCAUGGAUGCGGAACAGCUGCUGCUGCGGUGGUCCUCAUCUAGCCUUUAUUCCAAGGUACGACAGUAACAAGCUUGCUGCUUAAUUACCUUUGCUCCUAGCUAGCCAAAAUUACAAUUGAUACAUGUAUAUAUAUAGGUGUAUUAGCAUCUGCUAUGUCGGCUUAAAAUUCUGGAGAGAUUUUGAACUUUUUUCUUGCACAUUAUUAGGUGGUAUUUUGUUAUAUUUGAGAAAGGCAUAUGUCAGUUAUUUUUUAGGAGUUGAGAAACUACUUUUCUUGCCAUCAAGGUUGAUAUAUGAACUUACAAGUUACAACCGUGAAGGUUGAACAACGUCAGUUAUUUUUUUAGGGAUUUAACAACAUCAGUUUGUUGUACUUGCUUGAAGUUUUUGCCCUGAGCAUAACCUAAUAGCAACGAACAAAAACUUAUGUUUUAAUGUAUGCCAAUAGUCAUGUUGUCUGUUUAGUUGAGGUUCGUUUUUCAGUACAUGAAUUUGCUGCACUAUCAUGUAAGAGGAUUUGCACUGAUGCUAAUCAUGGUUCAUUGGAACUCCAGACAACAAGGUAUGUAAUCCUUGUUGACAUGAGUUACAAGUUCUUGAUUUAAUAUCCUGAUAAUUUAAGUACUUUGUAAUUUUGACGUGAAGCUCUGCCUUUGUAAGCGGCCAGGAAGGAUCGAUCAGAAUCAAGGUGGAACUUUUCUGCUCGUGGCGAGGACACCCCUGAUGGCGCAAACAUACCAACCUCUGUAUUGACUUUGUCGGCGUGAUUCAUUCGCCUGGCAGUGACGGUGGAGAGUCCUUGGCUGCACGACAGCAGCACUUUGUGGAGUCAAUGCAGCGGUUGUCGCCUCCAUGCUCGACCUCAUGCUUACCCGCGCAACAGGAGAUGAGCACUAGCAGCGGUACAGGAAGAGGGAGUUGGGCUGCAGUUGAUUUGGGAGGCCCAGCCGAGGCGAGAUGGGAGGAGAAGCAUCGAUGAUACUCCACCUGUCCGUAGCCAACAGAUGCAUCGGUGCAUCUAGCAGGAGGCACAUCUUGCGGCGGUAGCAAGCUCAUCUGCCAGGCAUCAUCAGGCGAUACCAGUCGUUGAUUGUUGCGUGGUGCUGGGAUAGAUGCCUCACCGGUGGACCAGGCGACUGUGUUGCUGGUGAGCCGCAAGGUGUUUGUGCUGAUGAUUGCGCGGGUUGUCUUAUCAUUGCGGCGUAUCCACUCUGCUACUGAUGCUUAGCUCUAUUGCCUUGCCGUGUGAUUGUGUCAUAUCGACACUAAUACUAAUGCUCAAUGUUGUUGCCUGAAAGCACACCCUGUUGUGUUUAUCAUAAAGGAAUAAACAACAUCUAAAGAGGCCCAUUGCCUUUAAGCAGUGUAUACUUCUCAACUGACAAACUUGUAGCAUUUGUAUUUUAUAGGUAUAUCCGAAGGUUGUUUGAACUACUCUGAUGCCACUCAGUUUUGCUUCAUGCACAGUUUGGUUCAAAAAAUGAUUCACACAUUACAUCCAAAAGGUAUAUAUUCUUUUCAGGUUGUAAAUGUCAUCCCCAUAGUAAUUCAUACAUUUUCUUUUAUACAGUUUGGGAAGGGGAGCCUUGGCGCAGUGGUAAAGCUGCUGCCUUGUGACCAUGAGGUCAUGGGUUCAAGUCCUGGAAACAGCCUCUUACAGAAAUGUAGGGAAAGGCUGCGUACUAUAGACCCAAAGUGGUCGGACCCUUCCCUGGACCCUGCGCAAGCGGGAGCUACAUGCACCAGGAUCUCUAUUGAGCCCAUCUUGGAUGAGUAGCUAGAUACCAGGAUGUAGCACCAUCAUGUAUCCCUACCAAAAUUGAAGUUUGUUUCUUUGGUAGGACUAGGUAGUUCUCUAGAUUAUAAUCAUAAUUAGUUGUGAGUUCUCCAGAAAUAUUUGUUGUACAACCAUAAGAAUGACGAUCCGGACCGACUGAAGGGUAUAGAUGAUAAUAUGACAUCAAUUCCUGAAUUAGUUGUUUCUCGCAAUUUGAAAUGUUUACAGAACACAUUGUGAUUGUAUACUUAAAUGGGUGCUGUCAUUCAUGACCA